rnacentral:rRNA from 1 species
ACAGCUCAAAUUUGAAAUCUGGCUUCUCGGAGCCCGAGUUGUAAUUUGUAGAGGAUGUUUCGGGUACCGCUCCGGCUUAAUUUUCUUGGAACAGAAUGUCACAGAGGGUGAGAAUCCCGUCUGGAGCCGCGGUAGGGCCUAUGUGAAACUCCUUCGACGAGUCGAGUUGUUUGGGAAUGCAGCUCAAAAUGGGUGGUAAAUUUCAUCUAAAGCUAAAUAUUGGCCAGAGACCGAUA